rnacentral:lncRNA from 1 species
CCCACCCAUGGGAUCACAGCACUGUUGAGGGCAAUCUUAGAGGUCUCCAAACCUUAAUGAUUCCAGGACUUACUGACUUAAUGACUCGUAGGGACCAUAGGAGUCACGGUGGCCGUGGCAUGGGGUCAGACUGGAUGAGCUUGGAAGUCUUUUCCAGCAAAUCCAACUGUCCGCCUACCGCCAGUAUCACCCACUGCACCGUGUCCGGUUGGAAGGGACUGACCGGAAGGCUCCGUCCAAUGGCAAGGACCACUGGGUGCAGUUGGUCCCCUCGGAGUUGAGUCAUAGAAUCCUUUGGGUUGGAAGGGACUUUUAGAGGUCAUCCCAUCCAACUCACAGAGUUGAAUGGGGGCCAUGCGUCAGCACCCCACCCUGUGCUUGGGGGUGAGCUAGGGCGAGUUUGUUCCCUUGGCUUUUUGAUUUUGGAUUUAUGGCAUUGGUGGGGUCACUGUCGUGGGGAAGGACCUCCGAACCCUCUUGGUGUGCGUCUUUGGGGCUGUGUUCCGCCGCACUGCGCUCUGUGUAACGCCGCACCCAUGCCUGCUGUCAUCCCAUAGUUAUGGGGGAGCACACCCCGGUGUCAUCCCACGGUUUGGGGGGAGCACACCCUGUGUCAUCCCAUGGAUUGAGGGGAGCACACCCUGUGUCAUCCCGUGGUUUGGGGGGUCACACCGGCCCGGUGCUCACCUCUUGCCCCAAUCCAUUGUGUCACGGCGCGGCGGGCGCUGUCCCCCAUUUCAGGAGGUUCCUUCCCUCUCUCCCCUGGGGAUCCCAAAGCUUUCCCCAACCCGCUGCCAUCGUCGAGGGGGGGGGAGGGGGGACGGACGGAGGGACGGACGGACGGGGCGGCCGCUCCCAGCACUCAGCAAAGCCAUGCAGUAGGGUUAGGGCAGGAAGCGAAGGCACUUCUCCUUCGUUUCUGCAGAUAGCACUGUGAAUCGGACACCCCUCGCUGCGCCCGCCCUGCCAGGCCCCCCCCCCGGGGCAGCGAGCGGCCUGUUUCCUCUUUUCCUUUUCAUUUUACCUCAUUUUGAGUUUUUGUUUGUUUUUGUUUUGGUUUUGGGGGGUUGGGGGGCGGGGGUUCGAUACUUGAAGAAAAGUCAGUGCUUGACAUUGGGCAGCGGUACGCCGGGCCGGAGGGCGGAUGCACUUUAUGGGUAUUUGGGUAUAAUUGGGGGGGUCGCAUCCUUCAGCAGCCGCAGUGCACAUGGAAGUCACCCCCGGGAGAGUGACACUAAUGGGAAAUCUGGAGUCAUCCCGUUGGAUCGGGGGAAGAAAGGAAAUCAUUCCAGUGGUGGCACCGGGUCUUCGGGCAGCUGAUGGCAGAAUGCAGCCCACUCCUGUGGCAGUGCUUCUGGGCCACCGACCUUCUGUGUCACCUCCUGUGCCACCUUCCUUCUGUAUCACCCCCGUGCCACGUUCCUUUUAUGUCACCUCCUGUCUGCCUUCCUUCCACGUCAUCUUCUGUGCCACCUCCCUUCCAUGCCACCCCCUGCUGCCCUCCUUCCAUGUCACAGCGGUUCUGUGCCACAGUGCUUAGGAGCAGGCAGAGCGAGGUGGGACGGCUGAGAUUGCAGUUCUUGGCCAUGGGACCACCAGCACUCCUUUUUCCUCUUUCCUUAUGAACUCUGCUCAAGAGUCAUUUAAAAAGGGGGAUAAUAAACCCAAAAACCCAACCACGGAAGGGUCAGAGCCCACCCCGUGGCGCUGUGCAUCCGCUCUCUGGUGGC